UGUCUUGGGCUGCACACGUGCUACAAUGGCCGGUACAAUGAGCUGCGAUACCGCGAGGUGGAGCGAAUCUCAAAAAGCCGGUCUCAGUUCGGAUUGGGGUCUGCAACUCGACCCUAUGAAGUCGGAGUCGCUAGUAAUCGCAGAUCAGCAUUGCUGCGGUGAAUACGUUCCCGGGCCUUGUACACACCGCCCGUCACGUCACGAAAGUCGGUAACACCCGAAGCCGGUGGCCCAACCCCUUGUGGGAGGGAGCUGUCGAAGGUGGGACUGGCGAUUGGGACGAAGUCGUAACAAGGUAGCCGUACCGGAAGGUGCGGCUGGAUCACCUCCUUUCUAAGGAGCACUUCUUACCGAGUCCUUCGGGACGAGGUCAGAGGCCAGUACAUCAGCGAACGUCUGAUGCUGGUUGCUCAUGGGUGGAACGUUGACUACUCGGCACACUUGAUCGUCUUCUCCUUCUAGUACUGCUCUUCGGAGCGUGGAACGUCGAGGGAAGCGGGGAGUGUGUCGGGCACGCUGUUGGGUGUCUGAAGGUACGGCCGCGAGGUCGCCUUCAGUGCCGGCCCCAGUGCACUCGAGCCGCUGGUUCGGGGUGAUGGGUGGUUGGUCGUUGUUUGAGAACUGCACAGUGGACGCGAGCAUCUGUGGCCAAGUUUUUAAGGGCGC
rnacentral:sRNA from 1 species